AUUGGGUUCCGGCAUUGGAAUGAGAACAAUAUAAAUCUUUUAACGAGGAUCUAGUGGAGGGCAAGUCUGGUGCCAGCAGCCGCGGUAAUUCCAGCUCCGCAAGUGUAUAUCUAUGUUGCUGCGGUUAAAAAGCUCGUAGUUGGAUCUGCGUGUUUAGCGUCCGGUUCGACUUUUGGUCGUUACUGGAACGCGACACAGAUGUGCUGGUUUGCCGUUGAUGCUCUUAACCGGGUGUCAGUGGCGGCUAGCGAGUUUACUUUGAAAAAAUUAGAGUGCUCAAAACAGGCGUUUCGCCUGAAUAUUUCUGCAUGGAAUAAUAGAAUAGGACUUCGAUUCUAUUCUGUUGGUUUUCGGAAUGCGAAGUAAUGAUUAAGAGGGACAGACGGGGGCAUUCGUACUGCGACGUUAGAGGUGAAAUUCUUGGAUCGUCGCAAGACGUACUACUGCGAAGGCAUUUGCCAAGAAUGUUUUCAUUAAUCAAGAACGAAAGUUAUGGGUUCGAAGGCGAUCAGAUACCGCCCUAGUCAUAACCGUAAACGAUUCAAACUGGGCGCCCGACGGUGUUUUUAUUGACCCGUCGGGAACCCUCCCGGAAACGAAAGUGUUCGUGUUCCGGGGGAAAUAUGUCUGCAAAGAGGAAACUUAAAGGAAUUGACGGAAGGGCACCACCAGGGGUGGAGCCUGCGGCUUAAUUUGACCCAACACGGGGAAACUCACCCGGCCCGGACACCGUAAGGAUUGACAGAUUGAGAGCUCUUUCUUGAUUCGGUGGGUGGUGGUGCAUGGCCGUUCUUAGUUGGUGGAGUGAUUUGUCUGGUUUAUUCCGAUAACGAACGAGACUCUGGCCUGCUAACUAGUGUUCACAUCUUUACGUGUGCUUCGCUUCUUAGAGGGACAGGCGGCUUCCAGCCGCAUGAAGAAGAGCAAUAACAGGUCUGUGAUGCCCUUAGAUGUCCGGGGCUGCACGCGCGCUACACUGAAAGAAUCAGCGUGUACGUUACCUGGCUCGAAAGAGUCGGGUAAUCCGGUGAAAAUCUUUCGUGAUUGGGAUCGGGACUUGCAAUUAUUUCCCUUGAACGAGGAAUCCCUAGUAAGUGCGGGUCAUCAGCUCGCGCUGAUUACGUCCCUGCCCUUUGUACACACCGCCCGUCGCUGCCCGGAACUGAGCCGUUUCGAGAAAAAUGGGGACUGUCUACUUGAGGUCUUCACGGACUUUUUGUAAAUGGAAACCGCUUUAAUCGCAGCGGCUUGAACCGGGCAAAAGUCGUAACAAGGUUUCCGUAGGUGAACCUGCGGAAG
rnacentral:rRNA from 1 species